rnacentral:lncRNA from 1 species
CAAGAAACCAGAGACAAACAGUUCACUGCAUCUCAAUUGGAUGGCCCAUUUCCACCCCUUCCAUAACCUCUCAUUCAUCAGAGCAUGCCACAUAAAAAAGAGCUGUCUUCAAUGGAAACAGAAGAGAAGUCAAAAAAGAAAUUACAACCUAAAUGUCUUGAGGAGGGGUUGUCAUGAGAAAUUUGGGGCAUCAGAAAAUAUUAUCUACAAAAAGACAGCACUGGAAUUCAAUUCAACAAAUACUGAUUAAACAUGGAGACUGUGGGAGACACUGCUAAAUGAUGGGAAUACAAAGAUAAAGACAAAAUAAUCUCUGUCCUCAAGGAACUUACAUUCUACUGGGUGGGUUAACAAUUUACACCGAAAAUUAAUAAGUAGCAGAUAAUUUAAAGGGGGAGGGAGCACUGCUUGAGGGAGGGGGUGGAUAGUCUUCACCAGGGAAGGAAACCUGAAAGGAAGAUAAGGAAUACAUUUCUAUUUAAGAGGGAUGACUUCUAUAAAUGCCCAGAGGCAUCAAAUGACACCAGAGAUAAGAGAACAGAUAACAAGUAGAGCAGUUGGGCUGGAACAAGGAGUCAAUGAAAGAGAGUAAUGUAAAAUAAGCCUGGAAAGGUGAGUGGGAGCCAGAUUAUGAGUCAACUGAAAUGCCAGACUAAUGAAAUUUUUUUUUAAAUCCUAGAAACAAUAAGGAAUCAGUGAAGGUUUUUGAGCAUGAGAGUGGAACAGUGCCAUAUGAAGAUUAUUUUGGAAGCUGAGUAGAGAAUGGAUUAGAGAAGGAGGGGACUGAAAGAGGCAAGAGGUUGUUACAAUAGCAAUGCUGUAAGCUCCUCAAGAAUGUACAUUCUACAUACGUGACAGAAAAUCAUAGAAUACAAUUGUUUCAAAGAAUCAAAAAUUAAUACCACACUGAGGGCAAUGAAGAGAUGUACAGAGGGCAUGUGUACAACUGAAACACAAUAUACAACUGAAAGGAACUGCAAAGAAGGGGAAGGAAAUGAGAGUCUAU